rnacentral:rRNA from 1 species
GAUGAACGCUGGCGGCGUGCUUAACACAUGCAAGUCGAACGGAAAGGCCCAAGCUUGCUUGGGUACUCGAGUGGCGAACGGGUGAGUAACACGUGGGUGAUCUGCCCUGCACUUCGGGAUAAGCCUGGGAAACUGGGUCUAAUACUGGAUAGGACCACUUCUUGGAUGUUGUGGUGGAAAGUUUUUUCGGUGUGGGAUGAGCUCGCGGCCUAUCAGCUUGUUGGUGGGGUAAUGGCCUACCAAGGCGUCGACGGGUAGCCGGCCUGAGAGGGUGUACGGCCACAUUGGGACUGAGAUACGGCCCAGACUCCGACGGGAGGCAGCAGUGGGGAAUAUUGCACAAGGGGCGCAAGCCUGAUGCAGCGACGCCGCGUGGGGGAUGACGGCCUUCGGGUUGUAAACUACUUUCGCUAGGGACGAAGCGUUUUGUGACGGUACCUGGAGAAGAAGCACCGGCUAACUACGUG